rnacentral:rRNA from 1 species
GCUAAAAAUCUAGCCAUAUACUUAUGUAUAAAAAUACCCAAUUUUUCCUUUAAACUAAAUCAUUUUACCAUUUUAGUAAAGGUGAUUAAAAAAAUAUUAAGAGCUAUACAAAUUGUACCGAAAGGGAAAGAUGAAAUAAUAGUGAAAACUUUUCAGCACUAUAAAGUAGAGUUUUACCCUCGUACCUUUUGCAUCAUGGUUUAACUAGCCUAAUCAAGCAAAACGCAUUUAAGUUUGACCUCCCGAAACUAAGUGAGCUACUUCAAGGCAGCUAAAGAGCGAACUCGUCUCUGUAGCAAAAGAGUGAGAAGACCUUCAAGUAGUGGUGACAGACCUAACGAACUCAGUGAUAGCUGGUUACUUAAGAAAAGAAUUUUAGUUCUACCUAAAGCAUUAUAAGUUUUUAUAAACAUCAAACAAUCUUUAGAGUUAUUCAAAUAAGGUACAGCCUAUUUGACCCAGGACACAACCUAAAACAAUGGAUAUACUAAACGCAAACUAUAAUUAAGUAGGCUUAAGAGCAGCCACCUUUUGAAUAGCGUCACAGCUUAAUUUUACCACAUGUUUUAUUCCAAACCCCCAUUUUACUCCUCUAUAUUUAUUAAGUACUUCUAUAGUAAUAUAGAAAAUUUUAUGUUAAAACUAGUAACAAGAAGACAACCUUCUCAUAAAUGUAAGUGUAAAUCAGAAUGGAUUAACCACUGAUACCUAACGCACCUGAUCUUAAAGUAACAACACAUCAAGAAAAUAUUACUUUACUUAUCGUUAAUCUAACACAAGAACAUUUCAAGAAAGAUAAAAAGAAAAAGAAGGAACUCGGCAAACAUUAACCCCGCCUGUUUACCAAAAACACCGCCUCUUGACACCUUAUAAGAGGUCUAGCCUGCCCAGUGACAGAUUAAACGGCCGCGGUAUCCUAACCGUGCGAAGGUAGCGUAAUCACUUGUUCUCUAAAUAAGGACUAGUAUGAAUGGCUCCACGAGGGUUAUACUGUCUCCUUUCUCCUAUCAGUGAAACUAAUCUCCCCGUGAAGAAGCGGGGAUAAAAUUAUAAGACGAGAAGACCCUAUGGAGCUUAAAACUUAAACCAUCUGCUACAAAUACUUUUAUUUCCAGAAUUAAAAUUUCCCUAGCUACAUGACCUCUGUUUUAGGUUGGGGUGACCAUGGAGAAUAAUACAUCCUCCAAACUAAAUGAAUUUCAUUCUAAGCCAAGAUUAACAACUCUAAGCAUCAAUAUAUUGAUAUCCAUUGACCCAAAUAUUUUGAUCACUGAACCAAGUUACCCUAGGGAUAACAGCGCAAUCCUCUUCAAGAGCUCAUAUCGACAAGCGGGUUUACGACCUCGAUGUUGGAUCAGGACUCCCCAAGUGGUGCAGCCGCUACUAUAGGUUCGUUUGUUCAACGAUUAAAGUCCU